AUUGAACGCUGGCGGCAUGCCUUACACAUGCAAGUCGAACGGCAGCACGGGUGCUUGCACCUGGUGGCGAGUGGCGAACGGGUGAGUAAUACAUCGGAACAUGUCCUGUAGUGGGGGAUAGCCCGGCGAAAGCCGGAUUAAUACCGCAUACGAUCUACGGAUUAAAGCGGGGGACCUUCGGGCCUCGCGCUAUAGGGUUGGCCGAUGGCUGAUUAGCUAGUUGGUGGGGUAAAGGCCUACCAAGGCGACGAUCAGUAGCUGGUCUGAGAGGACGACCAGCCACACUGGGACUGAGACACGGCCCAGACUCCUACGGGAGGCAGCAGUGGGGAAUUUUGGACAAUGGGCGAAAGCCUGAUCCAGCAAUGCCGCGUGUGUGAAGAAGGCCUUCGGGUUGUAAAUCACUUUUGUCCGGAAAGAAAUACUUGGCCCUAAUACGGUCGGGGGAUGACGGUACCGGAAGAAUAAGCACCGGCUAACUACGUG
rnacentral:rRNA from 1 species